rfam:Bordetella genomosp. 13 strain AT7206, complete genome.
GCCCGAGUGGUGAAAUUGGUAGACGCAGGGGACUCAAAAUCCCCCGCCGCAAGGCGUGCCGGUUCGAUUCCGGCCUCGGGCA